rnacentral:tRNA from 1 species
AGGGAUGUAGCUCAGUGGCACAGCGCUUGCCUGGCAAGCAUGAGGUCGUAAGUUCAAUUCCUAGUACCUA